GACAGGUUGUUUGAAAGAAAUUUUAGUUACUUAAUUUUUUUGUAAGUCUAACUUGUUCUAUUAUUUAAUAAAAUUAAUCAGUUUGUUUAUGGAACACAAUUGCUGGGGCCUGAAAUAUUUAACGUGGUGGUUGACAGACCACGAGGUGGACAUAUGCAUUAAAAUAAGCAUUAAAAAGGAGGACAGGACAGAGAUGGCAAGGGGGUCAAAUCAAAGUCAACGUAUGGGCGCAAUGUCAUACUUUGCACAUGUAAGACCCCCUUUUGCCUGGAUCACAUCAUGCACCCUCUGAGGAAGAUUUUCCA
rnacentral:lncRNA from 1 species